GUGCACCAGUCGCGAAACUUCACACUGCGCGAAAGCGCGAUGAGGGAAUCCCAAGUGCUUGCACGUAAGUGUAAGCUGUUUCUCUGUCUAAAAGCAGAGAGAGUAAGGGCUGGGUAAGACGGGUGCCAGCCGCCGCGGUAAUACCUGCAGCUCAAGUGGUGGCCGCUAUUAUUGGGCCUAAAACGUCCGUAGCCGGUCUAGUAAAUGCCUGGGUAAAUCGUGAGGCUUAACCUUACGAAUUCCGGGUAGACUGCUAGACUUGAGACCGGGAGAGGCUAGAGGUACUCCUGGGGUAGAGGUGAAAUUCUGUAAUCCUAGGGGGACCACCAGUGGCGAAGGCGUCUAGCUAGAACGGGUCUGACGGUGAGGGACGAAGCCCUGGGGCGCAAACCGGAUUAGAUACCCGUGUAGU
rnacentral:rRNA from 1 species